rnacentral:rRNA from 1 species
AUUGAACGCUGGCGACAGGCCUAACACAUGCAAGUCGAACGAGUGGCGGACGGGUGAGUAAUGUCUGGGAAACUGCCUGAUGGAGGGGGAUAACUACUGGAAACGGUAGCUAAUACCGCAUACCAUCGGAUGUGCCCAGAUGGGAUUAGCUAGUAGGUGGGGUAAAGGCUCACCUAGGCGACGAUCCCUAGCUGGUCUGAGAGGAUGACCAGCAAGACUGGAACGAAGACACGGACCAGACUCCUACGGGAGGCAGGAGUGGGGAAUAUUGCACAAUUGGCGCAAGCCUAAUACAGCCAUGCCGCGGGUAUGAAGAAGGCCUUCAGGUUGUAAAGUACUUUCAGCGGGGAGGCGUUACCCGCAGAAGAAGCACCGGCUAACUCCGUGCCAGCAGCCGCGGUAAUUC